UGGAGUGUAGCUCAGUGGUAAAGCGCUUGCCUGGUAUGCAUGGGACCUGUGGCUUCAACCCCCUGCACUGCAA
rnacentral:tRNA from 1 species